GCGGAAAGCGUCUAGCCAUGGCGUUAGUACGAGUGUCGUGCAGCCUCCAGGACCCCCCCUCCCGGGAGAGCCAUAGUGGUCUGCGGAACCGGUGAGUACACCGGAAUCGCUGGGGUGACCGGGUCCUUUUCUUGGAGCAAACCCGCUCCAAUGCCCAGAGAUUUGGGCGAGCCCCACGCGAGAUCGCUAGCCGAGUGAGU
rnacentral:other from 1 species